GAUUAACGCUGGCGGCGUGCAUAACACAUGCAAGUCGAACGAUGAAACUUAACUGAUUUCUUCGGAAUGAUUUUAAGUGGAUUAGUGGCGGACGGGUGAGUAACGCGUGAGUAACCUGCCUUGGAGAAGGGGAUAGCCUUUGGAAACGAAGAAUAAUACCCUAUGAUAUGAUAAUAUCUCAUGAUAUUAUCAUCAAAGAUUUAUCGCUCUAAGAUGGACUUGCGUCUGAUUAGUUAGUUGGUGAGGUAACAGCUCACCAAGGCAGCGAUCAGUAGCCGGCUUGAGAGAGUGUACGGCCACAUUGGGACUGCGACACGGCCCAGACUCCUACGGGAGGCAGCAGUGGGGAAUUUUGCACAAUGGGGGAAACCCUGAUGCAGCGACGCCGCGUGAUUUAGAAGGCCUUCGGGUUGUAAAAAUCUUUUGUAUGGGAAGAAAAUGACAGUACCAUACGAAUAAGGACCGGCUAAUUACGUG
rnacentral:rRNA from 1 species